AUUGAACGCUGGCGGCAUGCCUUACACAUGCAAGUCGAACGGCAGCACGGACUUCGGUCUGGUGGCGAGUGGCGAACGGGUGAGUAAUGCAUCGGAACGUGCCAUUGAGUGGGGGAUAACGUAGCGAAAGUUGCGCUAAUACCGCAUAUUCUGUGAGCAGGAAAGCAGGGGACCGCAAGGCCUUGCGCUCUUUGAGCGGCCGAUGUCAGAUUAGCUAGUUGGUGAGGUAAAGGCUUACCAAGGCGACGAUCUGUAGCGGGUCUGAGAGGAUGACCCGCCACACUGGAACUGAGACACGGUCCAGACUCCUACGGGAGGCAGCAGUGGGGAAUUUUGGACAAUGGGGGCAACCCUGAUCCAGCCAUGCCGCGUGAGUGAAGAAGGCCUUCGG
rnacentral:rRNA from 1 species